ACAAAUAAAUGUGACAAUUUAUAUUGCAUAGUUACAUUUAGUUUAAAGACAAGUACGAAAUUAUCAUUGAAAUUAGAAAAGGAAAAUAGACACACCACACUCAAUCCAAAAAUAGAAUAGCUGUUAUGAACCCUAAGUACCACAAAUAAUUUUAGGAACGUUGUGUAAAUGUAUAUGCGCUAUGUAUUAAUGUUAAUGUAUAUAUUCCUGUAAUAGAUCCUUGCAGAAAAGAAAAAAUAAAUCCCACAGGGAACAUUCGCACUCCCUUGAAACUGCGCAUGCGUAGACUACGUUGUAAACAAUGAGACGAGACUAUCAGACCGUCCUCAUCUUUGUUACACUUUGAUUUGUGUCAAACUAUUGAGGACCUCCCUAAGCUCAUCGUAAAAUACAAAACAUGUUGCUCUGUGAGUAUGAGUACUCAUUUGUUACAAGAUUUUAUUAGAUGCACUUUUAGUUGCUUUUUUUUUAUCGCCAUCAUCACUCCGGAGAGGUUCGAAUUUGUACGUUGCAGCCCGAGAAGCCACCUCAAAUGACAGUUGGGUGUGACAGCAUGCAAUGAAUCCACCAACGCAGCCGAUGUUAUCAGAGCCGCUUGUACCAUGCUAGCCAUGCUCACUACCCGGCUGUCCAACCUCAUUGAUAUGAUAGCAAAGUUGCUAGCACAGGCAAGCUCUACGUCUAUGUGCUACUUUUAAAAAAAAAUUAAUGCUAGUUUGAAUAUAACAACAGGGUUACGAGUGGCUUAACGUCUCUACCAGGGAGUGAUAUAAAUGAAGGAAACGCGGAUAAGCACUUUGUGACAGAUUCGGCAGCGCACAGCUAGGUGGCAAGCCUGAACUAUAUGACUGUAGAAAAAGAAGGGAUGCAGGUUAUUGCACCUGCAAUAAAAAAAAUAUUAAUUUGAAAUAAUAUAAAUUGCCAAUUGCUCUGGGACUAACUGAUAUGUUUUGUGAUUUAGUUAUCCUUGCCAAAAUUCUCAGUUGCUAUUGUCAAAAGCAGAAAAAUAUCUUUCAAAGAACAAUGAUCUUCUGUGGAAUUGAUGUCAAGAUGCAUUCAUUGCAAGUAUGAAUUGUACAUACUUUAAAUGUUGUAGUCCCUGCAAAGCAAUAGGAGUGACAAGGAUUUGACCCUUGGAUGGCACGCCAGGAGGUCACGAUUCGCCACUGAUUUUCAAGCUUUCAACGAUUAUUGAAAAAAACAUGUUAUAGUACUUUAAACACUAUUCUAUUAAUGGUGGUUGACUUGGCUAUCGGUUCACUUUUUUUUUUUUUUUUUUUUUAUAAAGCUUUACGGCCACAAUUUUUUUUUCUCAUUUCAUAGCCCUGCAUGUGUUAAGCAAGCUUUAUACAUGUUCCUGUUUUAAACAGUUUUUUCCACAGUGCUAUUCAGUGAUAAUUUUGUGGAAAGUACAAACAGUCAUCUGUGACAGGAGCUGAAGAAUGGAGGCAGUUUUGACCAGGCUGAAGGGCCUAACUGCUGAUGAACUGCGUGAGGAAUUUGCCCGGGCAGACCUGAAGUGCGUCGCCAUCACAGCCACCACACGAUCAAUCUUUGAAAAGAAGUUGGCACGAAUGCUUGCUGGGCCAGAGAGUAGUACCACAGAAACCGACAACGGUUCCUCUGCAAGGGAUGCAGAUGCCGUGACUUCAGUAGCUGACCAUGACAAACCUUUACCGUGUGCCAUCUCAAGUGUUUCGGAAAGCAGCGGCCCAAAUGAUGAGCUGGACUUUGGCUAUGGUGUGGGGCUUAACCCGCCAGAGGAAGAGGAGAUCUCUAACUCUCAAUCCAAAUUGAAAACUCCUUCAAAAGCAGCACAAUUAUCUCCAGCCUUUUAUUAUGGCGUAUGUCCGUCAUGGGAGGACAUUUUGUCUCGAAAUGAGAGAGCACAUGUGUAUACAGAUCAGAAAGAUGCCCUUCAAGCUGUGAAGGGGAUGAAGGGAGCACGCUUCAAAGCCUUUUCCAACCGCGAGGAUGCUGAGAACUUUGCCAAGGGGAUGUGUGACUAUUUCCCCUCUCCCAAUAAAUCUUUGACAUCCGUAUCUCCUGUUAAACCAGGCCAAAUCGUCAGUAAAGACAUCAUGGAGGUGGAUACCAUUAACAGGGAGAGGGCCAACAGUUUUAAGAGCCCACGCACCCAGGACUUGACUGCCAAGCUGAGAAAAGUUGUAGAAAAGGGAGAUGAGGUGGCCUUCACUGAGAUAGUCUCGAGCAACCCACGCUAUCUCAUUGGCUCAGGGGAUAACCCCACUAUUGUUCAGGAGGGUUGCAGGUACAACGUAAUGCAUGUGGCAGCCAAGGAGAACCAAGCAGGCAUCGCCCAACUUCUGCUGGAUACUUUGGAGAACCCAGAGUUCAUGCGCCUCAUGUACCCCGAUGACCAGGAAGACAUGCUGCAGAAGCGUAUCCGUUACAUUGUCGAUCUUUACCUCAACACUCCAGAUAAGGCGGGUUUUGAAACACCACUCCACUUUGCCUGCAAGUUUGGGUGUCCAGACGUGGUCAACGUGCUGUGCUCGCAUCCUGACACAGAUAAGAACCGCAAGAACAGUGAUGACCACAAACCUUGUGAUAUUAUUUGUAGCAGAAAGAACACAACGACAGAAGAAGUGAGACAGAAAAUAUGUGACUAUUUGGAGGACCGCUGCUACAUCCCCUUGCUCAGGGCAGCUGACAACACCUCUCAACCCGUCAUUGGUGCUCCCUGGUCACCUGAAGCCUCAGAGACUCUCUCACUGAUCCAACAACACGCAAAAAACCCAUUGGAUCCACUGAUGACUGUCGCAGCCUUUGCUGGUCCACUGAGUCCCUCUAAAGCAAGUGAUUUUCGCCGUUCCUGGAAGACGCCGCCUAGGACUUCAGAAGCAAAGCAUUUCCACAACAUCCUGAAGUCGGAUCCUGACCGUGGUGCAGAGCGGGUUGGCAGAGAAUUGGCUCAUGAGAUGGGUCUCCCCUGGGCGGAAUACUGGGACUUCCUUGACUGUUUCGUAGAUCUGUCAUCAAUCAAGGGUCUUCAGAAGCUUGAGGAGUACCUGAGUAGGAAGGAUUUCUUUCCACGGACUUGUGAAGAAGGGGAGAAUGAGACCAUCAACAAAUUUAAAACUCCUUCCCCAGGCAAGCCCAAGAAGUUCUGCAACUCCAUCUCUGUUGGUGCCUUCUUGGAUGAGGGUGAGGACAUCAGCCUUGAGGAGAUGAAGAAUAGGCAGAAUGCAGCACUUACCAGCAUCACCUCCUCCGCCACAUCCAUGGACAACCUGAAGGGUGCAGUGGGAGGUCACGACUUCCACAUCAUGCCAAUGGGACUGAAGUAUCGGGGGGGGGACCUGAUUGAGACCGCAGCCGAGCAGGACCUGCUGUCACCUGUCGUCUGUAAAAAUGAGGUGUGCGCUUCCCUCUCAAGAGAUGGGAUUCCCAAUGGAGAUAAGGUCUCUCCUCGCAGCUCCCCGUCCGCCUGCAGCAUGCUGUCACCCGUCUCCAACCUCUUGGUGGAGUUUGAACGCAUGUCGCUACAAGACCGGCCGGACAGCCCUGACGGAUGCAGGGAGAGGAGGAGCAGUAGCGGGAACCGACACAGAGAGACCCUCGACUCCUACAGCUCCGCCAUUGGCACAGACCAGAGCUGUGGGCUGAAGCGACUGUCGAUUGGCCACGGCAGCCACAACAACGAGGCCUUGAAGGCAGGUGACGCAGAGGAGAGGUGCAGCAGCGGCAGCUCUGAAGAGUUCUUGGAUGCAGACGCGGACAGCCUGGAAUUGAUGAGCAGGACAAGGGGCACGGCUUCAGGGGUGCGCAACCUCUGUGCAAGGUCCAAAUCAUGGGAUCAUGGUGGGAGGGACCUGAGUAGCUCGGGGUCAUCUGCCUCCUCCUAUAAGUCCUUGGAUAAUUCCCAUGAGUUCCUUGCCAGGACCCCACCUCACAUUAGAAGAGGACUCUUUAUCCAUGGUCUCUGGCCAAAGCCACACCCCUCACCGGCGUGCACGCACAAGUCACCAUCUGACUUUCCUGUGGUCACCUUAUAGCAAGUUUCCCAUUUCCAGCAUGUCUCUUUCACCGAGUUCCCAAGAGGAGAGCACGGCUAUUUGGACCCCGGCCAACUACAACCCGUGGCCGAGUAUAUCUCUGGGUAGUAGACAAGGAGGAGAGCUGACAGACUGAGUUUAGAGGAAUUCUAUAUCGUGUUGAACUUACUGCGACAUGAUCCCAGCUCCAUGUUUUGACAUCUGCAAUGAAACAUCUGGGGAAGCCCAUCCGACUCUUCAGCCCCUGAUCAACUGAUUGGUGUCUGCUAUCCCCAAGGACAUUAGAUAGAAUUCAGACAAGGCAGAGAACAACGAACAGCAUUUUAUAUUUUCAAAGAAUUGCUCCAGUAGAAAUGUGCAUGUUAUAUUACUUUAUAAAUAUUUGUAUAUCCAUUUGCACCUUAUUUUUUAAUAUACUUCCAGGAAUGUCCGCACAUUUACUGCUAUAAUUUUGAAAUUGUUCAAUUGUUAUCAAUAAAGAACUGGAAAUGAAUGGUUCCUUCUUCACAAUUUCCAUAUAGAAAUCAGUGUUACAUUUCAUAUCUCCUUCCAGUUCAUAAACAUGCUUCAUCAGGGAUUGUAUAUUUAAAACAAGAAAUAUGAACAAAUGUAAAGGGUUGAAACAUUUUAUUUAUGUUAUAGGCAUGGUUCAAUUACAUCAUUCCAAAAGGUUUGUCCGGUAUUCCAGCACUGUCUCGGGUCACUCUAAUAUUGAUGUCAGUGUCCUUCAGAAAGAAGAAAUAAUUUAGAUAACUAAUAAAUGCAUUUCACGCACAACUCUAAAUACUAAUAACAUUUUUCUUUUGACAGAUUUUGACAAACGUGUACAAGAAAUAAAAAUUAAUACAAAUAGACUUGAUGUCAUUGAGUAAUUCCAUCCAUCCAUUUUCUGAGCCGCUUAUCCUCACAAGGGUCAGGGUAGUGCUGGAGCCUAUCGGGAGUGCUGGAGCCUAUCCCAGCUAUCAACGGGCAGAAGGGUACACCCUGAACUGAUUGCCAGCCAAUCGCAGGGCACAUAUAAACAAACCACCAUUUGCACUCACAUUCACACCUACGGGCAAUUUAGAGUCUUCAAUUAACCUACAACGCAUGUUUUUGGAAUGUGGGAGGAAACCGGAGUACCCGGAGAAAACCCACAACAAAAUAUAGAUUUAGUAAUGCCAUAAAGCAUGGAUGUUUAUAAUUACAUUAUACAUAUUUGUGUGGUUGUUGUUUUUUUCCAGAGACAGCCAUAGGAUUGAAGUAAAACUCACUAUGGCCUCUGCUGAGUUGAGUUUGCAACGCCUGAUUAGAUCAUCAGGCCCUAGCUGUUGUAAUUUGUGGUAGGCCACUGGUGACAGACAACCUGUAAUUUCAUUUUAUUUUAAUUGGUUUAUUUCAAAAGGACAAGAACAUACUGAUUAACAACAGUUAUUCAAAUAAUGCAGUGUGACAAAAAUCAAUUAAAAAAAUAUUUCUGGUUAGGUAAUGAGUUUGCUGGGUUGCUUUUAUAAAACCCCUAACCACAUCAAUGGUAUUUGUUUUUUUAUUCAAUAAACAAAAGAAAAGAAAAAAAAGUAUAUUGGCAAAAGUAGUACAUUAUGUAAUUGUGUACCUAUCAUAUUGUACCUGAAAGGCAGAUAUUUGGGGAUUUUCUUUUGCCAUCUUGGAUCACAAUGUUAGUCAGUCUUUGGUGUGUCUCAGUACAUCUUGAGAUCAUCUGUCAUUGUUCACCCAGGUACUUCAGGGAAAAGAAUGUCACAAAUAUGCAAUCAAUUGAGUAGGAAUAAAUACAAAUCUUGUAACUUUACAGCAUCCUACGAAAGUACUUGCAUGGAAAUGUGUAUGUUGUUCAAUUCCCUUUCAUUUCUGUCCACCGAUGAGAAACUAAAUACACAAAAAAGAAACACUAUUCUAUUACAUGUUGCAGGGAAUGAUAUAAGGAGCAACAUUAUUAUAGCACUUGUACUAAGCACUGUACACGAAGUAACUACAUUUUGUCCCCUAAAAUGAAUACCUUGGGUCCAACUUCUUUUAUGGACCUUGAGUUUCAGUUCUUUCCAUAGAUGUUCGAUUGGAUUCAAGUCAGGUGAUUGGCUGGGCCAUUCAAGCAGCUUUAUUUUUUUUUCUUGGAAACCAAUUGAGAGUUUCCUUGGUAGAAUGUUUUGGAUCAUUAUCUUGAUGAAAUGUCCACUCGUUUUAUUUUCAUCAUCCUCGUAGAUGGCAUCAGAUUUUUCUCAAGAAUGUCUCGGUACAUUUGCCCAUUCAUCCUUCCUUCAAUAAUGUGAAGUUUACCAGUACCAUUUGCGAAAAGCAGCCCCACACCAUCAUGUUCUCACCUCCGAAUUUAACUGUUGGUAUGGUGUUUUUAGACUGAUCUGCAUUUCUCCUCCAAACGUGGUGUGCAUUAUGUCAUCCAAAGAGUUUAGUUUUGCUCUCAUCAGACCUGACUAUAUUCUCCCAGUAUUUAACUGGCAUGUCCGAAUGUUGUUCAGAAAACACGAGCUUUGACAUGCUUUUUUUUUCAGCAAUGGGGUCUUGCGUGGUGAGCGUGCAUACAGGCCAUGGCGGCGGAGUGCAUUACUCACUUUUUUCUUUGUGACAACAGUACCAGGUCUUUUUGAAGCUCUCCAAAGGUGUUCCUUAACUCUUGGACAACUCUUAUGAUUAUUCUUUGGACUCCUCUGUCAGAAAUCCUGCGAGGAGCACCUGAUCGAGGCAAAUCUAUUGUGGGAUUCGCCUACCAAGUUGGACAGAGAUGUGUUGUCAGCAAUAGGGGAUGUAGAGGGGGAUCUCCAAAAAUAUCCCAGUAUUCACAAGUGGGUGAGCACAAUGACGUCCUACUCUUCCUCAGACAUGCAAAG